rnacentral:rRNA from 1 species
CCUACGGGAGGCAGCAGUGGGGAAUAUUGCACAAUGGGGGAAACCCUGAUGCAGCGACGCCGCGUGAGUGAAGAAGUAAUUCGUUACGUAAAGCUCUAUCAGCAGGGAAGAAAUACUGACCUUACGGUCAGCAGACGGUACCUGAGUAAGAAGCCCCGGCUAACUACGUGCCAGCAGCCGCGGUAAUACGUAGGGGGCAAGCGUUAUCCGGAUUUACUGGGUGUUAAGGGAGCGCAGACGGCUGUGCAAGUCUGGAGUGAAAGGCGGGGGCCCAACCCCCGGACUGCUCUGGAAACUGUAAGGCUGGAGUGCAGGAGAGGUAAGCGGAAUGCCUGGUGUAGCGGUGAAAUGCAUAGAUAUUAGGAGGAACACCAGUGGCGAAGGCGGCUUACUGGACUGCAACUGACGUUGAGGCUCGAAAGCGUGGGGAGCGAACAGGAUUAGAUACCCGGGUAGUC